CCGAGAGCUAAAAAUAAAUUGAAACACUUGAUUUGCCUGGUGUUAUACACUUGAUAAAUUUUCUUCUGCAAUGGUGUCUAAGUCUUCAAUUGUUAAGGCUACAUACUUGGUCCUAAUCGCAGCGGCCCUGGUGGCGUCACUCGCUGAGACGUCAACCUCAUCUAAGGAAUGGCAGGGUAGUGGCGAUGGACAAUGCAGUAGCGGGCACCUGCUGUGGAAGAGCUACUGGCCUCCCUGGAAAAUGUUGCAGCAAUAUCUCAGGUAAGAUCUCCCCUUCAACUGCUUACUCAAAGUAAAUACAUAUAUCUCCUUUCUACAUUUCUUCACAAGUUCGUUUCACAUUUAGCUUUGAAAAGUUGUAAUUAUACUUCGAUUCUUGUGUUGCAGGGGUCGGUAAGUUCAUCGAUGGAGCGGAUUUUCCUAUAUAUAUAUAUAUAUGGUUUAUGAAUAUGAAUGAAUAAGGAUACUUUUUCUAGUCUGCAAAAUAAAGGGAAAACCUGGGGCUUUUCUUUGCGCUAUAAUUUUACAUUAUUCACUUUAAUCCAAAUAAUUACGAGUAUGCAUUAUCUGAUUUUGUGAAUUAUGAAAUUUCCUAUUAAUCAAUCUAUGCAUUAUAAUUUUGCUCUAGUGUUCACUAUAAACUAUGUUACAUUCUUGUAUCAAGUUAUGGAGUAAAAUUAUUGCGGUUGUACGAAACUAAACGUGAAUUAACUUUUGCGGUAAGGUCUCCGUGAGGGUUGGAAGGAGGGAGGCAGAAAGCCCCCCUCCUGGAGGAUGCGGGAGAUAGAGCCCCUAAAAAUUUCAUUAAAGAUAGCUUAGAAAUUUUACAUUUAUAAUUUUGAUUGUGUCCUAUUUUUCCUUAUAAAUAGAGAAUCAUCAAUUAAGUUUUGUAUCAUCAUCAAAAUAUAUAGGUCAAAGAAGAUAGAGUGCAAUUUUUAUUUUUUAUAAACUUCUUUUCAUUAUAGUGAAUUACUACAGCCGUGUAUAUAUAUAUAUAUGAAUAUAUAUAUAUAUAUAUAUUCAUAUUGAUAUGAACUUUUAAAAAUUUUGCAUGUUCUUUUGUCUAUUUUGUUAUUGCGAUUUUAUUAUUAUUGGAGGCAUAAAACUAGAUUUUCAUUAUGUGUUGCCCCUACAAAUGGGUACCUCUAAUGAAGAUGAAUAAAAACUGUUGAUUUCUUUAGAGCAUUUCAGCAUUGCUAAAGUAACUAAAUUGAAUUGUGUGAUCUUCCAUCAUAUUUAGAAACUAAUCACUUUUUAAGAAAUCUAAGGUGUUGACUACAGUAAGAUCUCCCUCGUUGAUUUUGAACAUGGAUUAAAUCUCAAACAUAUACCUGAACUUGCUCGAAUGGAAGAUUCGUCUUUGUGCAUCAGUUUAUCUACCCAAACCUGCUGACGAAGGUUUCUGAGAUCUCGUAUUUGGUAGGUUAAAUUAAAUAAGACUGGACAAAAUUAAGGAAGAAAAGAAUAUGAAAGCAUUUGUAGGUCAUCGCUUAUCUAAUUCUAUCAAGUUCAGCGUUAUUUGUACUACUCAAGCUCACCCAAGUACCAGAAAAUGAAAUUGUGGCACGUUAUUGUCCAUAUAACCGGAUUAUUGAUGAACAAUUGGUAUGGAUUCUUGAAACAAGAAUUGUUACUGCAUUAAAUUGAACCAAGUAACAAGUGACAACCGUCUCAAGAUCCAAUCAAUUAUAGUGUCCCAUUCCUCUAUAUAAACAUCACAUUUGACAAGGUUCUUUACACAGAAAUUAAAUUGUUUUGAGUGCUAGAAAGAAAUUAAAAAACUCGACCUCCCUUUUCUAAAAGCAAAUAUUAUCUUGUGCAUUGGCUUCCGCUGGAAUUGGGAAGGCAAUGCUCGUGGUAAUGAUCGCGGCGGCUCUGGUGGCUGUACUAACCAAUCUCAUGCUACUUGGCUUUGAAUAGCGUGAGACUAUGCCUCCCCAAUAUGCAGGGUGGUGAAAGUGCCAGCCGCUGCUUUGGAGUGAUCAAGUCUCUGUUUGAAUUUUGCUCAAAAUCAAAUUUUUAGUAGAUAUUGACAAAAAGUUAUAAUAGAUUGAAAUUAAUUAUAAUUUAUUUACUAAUAUAAUAGUAGAUAUUGACAAAAAGUUCAUUGAUCAACACCAAACUUCUCUUCGCCAAUUAGCCUUCAAAGUUAUUAGAAUUUUGGGAAUAGGUGCUCCGAGUUCCGGUGCUGCGAAACAAGGUUCCCUUGGAUGAACGAGGUUCGCUCUUGAGAUCCACAGAAGAUAAAUGAUACCAUGAGGGCCAAGGUGAUUAUAGGAAUAAGGUUAGAGGAGACUAAGAAUUAGUCGGGUCUGGAUCAUACUAUAAGUCUUAUCGUUUAUAGUGGAUUGUUGACUGGCAAAGUGCCCGGAGUUUUUGAUCUUUGCGAAAGGCUUUCUCCAUGAUUAUAUUGGUGUUAUUUAAUUUAAGCAAUUUUAUUUUUAUUUAUUUUUUUUUUAGACAACAAAUUGUCUUUAAAAAAAUUAAUAUUGGAAAAGAACAUCAUAAGGGGGCAAUAUCAUUCAUUAAAAAGUUGACAAGUAACAAAUUAUCUUUUGCCACCACCGCCUCCGAGCUUUGGACCCUUGGGUAUAGCACCCUUGGGCACGUUACCCUUGGAAGUCUUGGUCUUGGAUAUCAAUUCUGCCUUCUUUGCCUUCUUCUCGUCCUUUGAUUUCUUGUUUCUCUCCUUGAUCUCGCGUAAAGCAGCUUCACGUGCAGCAUCUCUGACUUCUGGCUUCUCAGCUCUCUUCUUUUGAAUCACUUCCAAGGUAGCACCAACUAUUGACCUUGAGUAAGGCUUCUUGGUGGUUCGACGCCUCUUCUUCACAGUUUCCGCAGCUAUAUCCUUUUUAUGUUGUUUCCUGUACACAGCAGUCCAUGUAAGCUUUGAAGGCCUCAGGCGGUUGUGGAAAUACCUCUUGCAUUUUGAGUUGGCAAAGAGGAAGACCUGGGAGUCUGAGCGAAUAAAUCUGAUACCCUUCCCUGGGUAUAUCUUGGCACCACUGAAGCGACAAAGCUCUGUCUUGAGAACCAUUGUUGUUGCAGUUAUUUAAUUUAUGCAAUUUACAAGCUUAGGUAUUCCAACUUAGGUUAAAUUGAAUCAUUUGAUCUAAUCAUCAAUAAACAAUUAAAAAGUGACUGGUUGCUUUUAAUUGUGUAAUUUUGCACGUUGGGUCUAGAUAAAUUGAUCAUCUUAACUUUCAAAUGUGGGGCGCUGCUUGUUGAACAACCCCCUGACGUCCAGGGGAUUGUUCAAGGGGUUUUCCCCUUCAAAUGCGAUGCUGUCAAUAAUUGAUUAAAAGACCUUUCCUCCCUCUCAAAAAUUUCUCCAACUGUCAUUAACUCAGAUUCACAGUUGCUGACUGCCUUUCUUUCAAAACUUCCACAAUUGAUCAUCAUGCCACUGCCCUGUUAAAAGAAGUAAUUUGCAUCUAAAGAGAUCAAAAUGAAUACAUGAAGGUACGGAAGGGUUUAUUAUAUACAGCGACGUAUCCAAGUGAGGAUUGGGAUGUGUACUAAUGUGGAAUGGAAAAGUGAUAGCCUAUGUUUCAAGACAAUUGAAGAAACAUGAGCAUAACUACCCAAUGCAUGAUUUAGAACUUGCAGCGGUAGUACACGCUUUGAAGAUAUGGCGACACUACUUGUAUGGACAGAAGUAUGAUAUCUACACAGAUCACAAAAAUCUCAAGUAUUUCUUCACACAGAAGGAAUUGAAUAUACGACAAAGACGAUGGUUGAAAUUGUUGAACGAUUACGAUUGCACUAUUCACUAUCAUCCAGGUAAGGCUAAUGUUGUGGCCGACGCUCUAAGUAGAAAAUCAAUGGGACAAUUAACGUCACUACCCACCUCUCAAGUGGAGUUAGGAUAAAUUUAUGAUGUAAGGUAAAGCCAAAGUUGUUCUGAAAAACAAAUCAUCAACUAAAAGGCCUGAGAACAACUAUUAACUACAGUAUGUUCCAAGACAAAAACUAAGUGAAUCGUUUCAAUAGAACUAUAAUACAUCCGCACAGAGUAGUUCCUAGAUACUAUACAUCCAGAAGCCGUUUGUUGUGGUUGCAAGAAUCAAGGUACUAAUACGAUUUGGGCUGAUAUAUUCUAUUCCAAUUAGCCAAAAUAACUGAGCCCAUUAAGUGAACCAUUUUACAUAAGUAGCACUAAAUUAUGGAACGUGAAACCACCCUUGAGAAACGAGAUAUUAAAAGAAACUAAUUCCACCCCCUACACCGCACAUCCCGGUGGUACGAAAAUGUAUUGAGAUCUUCAAGAUACAUUUUUGGUGGAGAAAUAUGAAAAGAAGUAUAGGGCUGUACGUGUAGAAGUGCAUGGUAUGUCAACAGGUUAAGACAAAACACCAAAAACCAGCUGGAUUUUUAAAUCCACUAGAUAUACCUGAAUGGAAAUGAGAAAAUAUCACGAUGGACUUUGUGAUUGGAUUCCCGAAGUCAGCAAGAGGAAAUAAUGCUAUAUGGGUAGUAGUGGAUCGACUAACGAAAUCAGCUCAUUUUCUUCCAGUGAAAAUGACAUUUAGUUUAGACCAAUUGGCACAGUUGUACAUUAAAGAGGCUGUGAGAUUACACAGUGUACCUAUAUCCAUUGUGUCUGACAGAGACCCAAUGUUCACGUCCAAAUUUUGGAAAAGUCUACAAGGAGCUAUGGGAACGAAGCUGAACUUUAGUACAGCAUAUCAUCCUCAGUCCGAUGGUCAGUCUAAAAGGACCAUCCAAACUUUGGAAGACAUGCUAAGAACAUGUGUUUUGGAUUUAGGAGGUAAUUGGGAGUCAUACUUACCUCUAGUAGAGUUCGCUUAUAAUAAUAGUUUCCAAACAAUUAUUGGAAUGGCACCAUACGAAGCUCUCUAUGGUAGAAGAUGUAGAUCCCCUUUUCAUUGGGAUGAAGUCGGAGAGAACAGAGUUUUGGGACCAGAAAUGGUUGAAAGGACAAUCGAGGUAAUCGAUAAGAUUUGUGCAAGAAUAAAGGCAAUAUAGGAUCGACAAAAGAGCUAUGCAGAUAUAAGGAGGAAGGAUUUAGAAUUCCAAGUUAGGGAUAAAGUGUUUCUGAAAGUAGUACCGAUGAAAGGUGUACUUAGAUUUGGAAAGAAAGGCAAGCUACGACCCCGGUAUAUUGGACCUUUUGAGAUACUUGAUAGAGUUGAAAAUGUCUUACCGACUAGCUUUGCCACCUGAAUUAUCGACAGUGCACAAUGUGUUCCAUAUAUUGAUGAUAAAGAAGUAUGUACAUGAUCCUAAUCAUGUAGUGAGUUAUCAAACCUUGAAGGUACAGAAAGAUUUGUCGUACGAGGAACUACCGAUCAAGAUGUUGGAUCGAAAAGUGUAUAAACUAUGAAAUAAAGAGAUUCAGCUGGUUAAGAUACAGUGGAAUCAUCACGGCGUAGAAGAAGCCACUUGGAAAAAAGAAGAAGAAGCCAAAGACAAGUAUCCAACACUAUUCGCCCAAUCAGAAGGUAAAUUUCGAGGACGAAAUUUUAAUUAAGGUGUGGGGAAUAUAGAACCCCAAAUAAUUCUAGACACCUUAGUGGUACUAAGACAUGGAUAUUGGAUGACUAAAGUAUACUUCAGAUUUUUAGUCUCAUUUGAGACCCAUUUUCGACAUAGAAAACAUUCAAUUUGGAAAAUGAUAUCUAAAUAAAAGCUGUAAUUCUUUGAGUUAGCUUUCCAACGAUUCAAGCAGAUAUUGGGAGAAGAAGUUAUGAUAAAAACACUGAAAACUGUGCAGUGUCAACCGGACUACAACCGAUCGACCGAAACUGCCUAAAAUGAAAAUUCUCAUUUUUCUCUAGAAUUUAAAUAUUUAUUUUCAUCAAUUAUUUUCUCAAAGGGCCACCCACGUUUUUGGCAAUAAAAACUCCACUAAAUUGAAGCAUUUAACCUCAAACUUAAAUGACACCCAUGUUUUCUCUCUUAAAUGAAAUUUGACCCUUCAUUUUCUUUAAGUUAUAGGAUAUUUACUUAUAAAUAGAGAUCUCAUUUCACUUAUUUUUUCUCAUACCAAAAGCAAGAGUUUUUACAUACUGAAAAAAGAGUUUCCAAGAGAGAAAAAGAGAGGGAGGAAAACUAUUUUUCCUAGAAGUUUAAGAAGUGUUUUCAAGCAUCAAUUCUCAAUGGUUUUCAAACAUCCAAGGAGUACAUUUCUUUCAACGUCCAAGUUUCAUCGAAAUUUUCAAUCCAAGUUUUCAAAGUUUCAAAAGCAUCAAUCAAGGUAGGUAGAUGUGCAAUCUGUUUAAUCGUAUUAAGUUAUAAGUUUCGAUUCGUAUUAAUGUUUGUAUGUCAAAUGGUAAUUCGGUACGACAUAUUCCUCUAUGUUAAUGGUUGUAUGUCAAAUGGUACUCCGGUACGGCAUACCCCUCUAUGUUGAAGAAAUGUUCGUAUGUUAAAUGGUGCCCUCGGGUACGGCAUACCUUUUCAUGUCAAAUGGUGCCUCCGGGUACGGCAUGUAUGAAAAGUUAUAAAGUUAAUGUUUUGAAAUGUAUAGCUUGAUCAUGAAUGCACCUAUGAUACCUAUUGAAUUUUUCAACUUACAGGUUUAAUCUCAUCUCUACAGAUUGAAGGAAUUCUACCUCGGGCAUGGAUGGAGGAGAAGAUGGAGAGUGAUGCAACGAACUCAUGGAAAUCCGGUGAAUAAGUGAUUUGAAUUUAUUUUCAUGAAUAUUUUUCCAAUGUUAUUUCUUUAAAGUUUUGAAUAACGCAGAAUGCAAGAACAAGUUAUGUUUUCUUCAAAUAAAUUACAUUUUGUUGUUUUGAAAAAUGAUUUAGUGCUUUUCUUUAAAGUAUUUGAAGUAUUGUUAUUUAAAUUAUUAUCCGAAGAUGUAAGCUUCCGCUAAAACGUAUACACUUGUUAUUAAACCACCGGUUAAGUUAAGUAAAGUAAGUAGCGUUCCGGUCCACUAAGGGUCGGGACGUUACAAUCCCCACUCCUAGAUGCAGGAUCUCCAACCAACAACUCCAUCUUCUCUUUUGAGAACAGGGCGUCGUAUACCUCUUCAAUGGAUAACGUGUCACGACUAUACAGAAUAGUAUCACGAAAUGACGAAAAAGAAUUGGUUAGUGAACACAAUUGGACCAAGGCUAGAUCCUUUUCAUCAUAUUUUAUCUCCAACGUCUCCAAAUCUGCAACGAUCUCCUUGAACACAGCAAGGUGGUUCUACAGCUUCCGCCAUAUGAUGAGAAUACAACCUCUGCUUUAGAGUCAGUUUGCUCAUCAAACUCUUUGUCAUGUAUAACUGCUCCAGCUUGAGCCACAAAGCAGCAGUUGUCUUCUCCUUCAAAACAUCUUGCAGCAAAUUGUUGGAUAAAUGAAGUUGGAUUUGCGCUAAAGCCUUCCAAUCCUUCCAUUGUUUCUCCUCCAUAGACAAGUUUGCUGGCAUCCUAUCAAAACCUAGCAAAGCAUCAUCAAGAUCCAUCUGUGUCAACACAGCUCUCACAUUUACUUGCCACAGUGAAAAUCUUGUAUUGUGAUCCAAUAGCGGAACUUCAUACUUCAACGAAUUCAUCUCUGAAAAAUCUCAAUCAAAUUAGGAAGAACUUGCAACCUGCAAUACCCAAAAUUGAAAACUACCGAACGUGCAAGGGGCAAAAUAGUCAAAAACCAUAAUUUUGCCCAAAACUAAAAUUGGACACCACCACAAGAUCUGUCUCGUCGUCCGGAGAAAACUGCCUGAAGAUACCGUCGUCGGAAACCUCCAUACGCGCCGCCACUCUCCUCGCCAGAGUUCUACCGCUGACGACCUGUGACCCUUUUUGGACCGUUUCUACCUGAUGAGUCCACUGGUGGUGUUCGUUUCUCCAAACUCUUUUUGGUUUGACUAAAAAACACAAAAACAGAUCCGGCAGAAAAUCGAAAAAUUGGACAGAUUCGUUUUCUGAUUUUCUUGUAAUUUUCAGUUGAUUUUCCGAUCAGUUUCAGGCCAAAAAUCCACCAAUAACCCCGCUCUGAUACCACUUGUUGGGACCGAUUGACCAAUGAUGCAUGAAUUAAGAUUUAAUGAAUUCCACUUGUUGUAAUUGAAGUAUUGAACAAGAUUACAAAUAACCCAAGAACAAGAUUAAAGUAAGUAAAAGGAAAACUGGCAGAAGGAACGAUGUUUUAUUAAUUCACUAUGAAAGGAGAGUACAAUACAGCAAAAGACUCCAAUAAAACUGAUAGAGGAAUCUUGUAUUUAUAGUAUAAAAUCUAGCCCUAAAAGAGUCCCAAAAAAAAGGUAAGAAAUCUAAUGUAAUUUAGACUCAUAUUUGAGUCACACUUCUAGCAGGAAGAUGGUGGCUUGUCGUGGUGUUUGGUCAUUGGUGGCGACGACAAUGAAAGCACUACAAUCCUUACUUAAAUUUUGACGAUGUUUCGAUGAAAUUGAGAAGAAAGAGGUGGUCGUAAUUUCAGAUAUAAAAAUAGAUAUUCGAUUGGUGGUGGUUGGUGUGAUUUGAAAGAUUCGGUGGUGGUGGUGGUUGGGGUAAGGUCGACAGAGAUGGUGGACGAGGGAGAUGGGUGUGGGAUUAGGGUUAGUGUGUAACGAAAUUAGAUUAGGGUUUGCCAAAUGUUUCUAUGUGAAAAAGGGUAUUUUUCAUGAAGUAGGGUUAAUACAUAUUAAUUAGAAUUAAAAAAUAGGUAUAUUUACAUUUUUUCAAAAGUGGGUAUUGGGGCUAAUCUAUUGCAGUGAUCAAAUAAAAGUCAGAUUUUAUGUUUCAUGAAUUUAACAAAGAAGAAGCAUUAAAGAAAGAGAUACAGAAACAUCGAUAUAAUCCUACCAUUUGUGAAGAAACCUUUACAUCCACUGCUUAAAACCACAUCAAUAUUAAAAAAUCAAAAUUAGGUUAAAUUUAUAUUUUUUAAUAGGAUUUUGCCAUUUGUACACACUUGUAUUGUUAUCAAAAAGUGAUUUGAUGAAAAAACAAUUUUUCUUUUUAAAUGAGAGUUUACCAUGUGGCAAACUGUAAACAAGAUUAUACACCAAACAUGAUUCUAAGUAGGAUGUUCAAUAAUAUCUUUAUUUUAACAAUCUUGGUACAAUAACAGAGUCAGACUCAACGACGAAAGAGACACAUAUGACAUAUCAAUACAUGAUUGGACAAUUUGAAAAAGAAAAAAAAGAAAAAACACACAACGCCCAAUCUCAACCCUACCACAACACCCCGUUGCCUCACCUCCUGUCAUGGACCUGGCCAAGGGGCAUUAUUCUAAUUUCAAAGCCAAGAUGCUUACAUUAUGGAUAGCUAAAGCAUAAACAUGCUUUUUCAUUGCAAAAAUCAAAAGUUAAUGCCUAUGACCUGAAAUUUAUCACAACACUUGCUAUCUCCUUCAUUUCGGCGCCUCAGAAUCCAGCAUGCAAGUGCCCCAAUGGCUAGGAGACCGGCAACUAUUGGCAUUGCCAGCACUUCAACGUAGAGUGGAACUUUCAUGGUUUUCGAAGAGAAGUAGGGUGGGGUGUGAGAAUUGGCUUGAGUACGGCACAAUUUAUAAGGAAAUUGUUGGGUGAUGAGUUUUCAGCAGUUUGAUGCGGUGAAGAAAUGCCCGAUUCAAAGGAUAUAUAUAUACACAUAUAUAGAUAAGAGAGAUACAUAUAUAGAGAAUCUAGUAGGACUAUUCAAUCGAGGAAGAUCCUAAGCAAUUGCGACGCAUUUCCUUGUCAACUAACGCACUUUGUAACAUUUAUUGUCGUGUGGAGAAACAUAUACGGAUUAUUUAUUUAUUUCAACAAUUGCGACGCAUUUCCUUGUCAAAUAGCGCACUUUGUAACAUUUAUUGUCGUGUGGUGAAGCAUAUACGGAUUAUUUAUUUAUUUCAACAAUAAGGUAAUAAGGUAUUUAGGUUUAAUUUAAGGAUAAUUAGCACAAAAUAUCCUUACUUUUCAAUAUUAUUAUGCAAAACGUUCUUAUCUUUUAUUUUUUGACAUUUUCAUCCCCAUUUUCGCCUUUCAUUACGAAAAAUGUCAGUUUCAUCCAAUUUUUCAAUAAAAAAAAAUGUAAAAUGACAAAUAUAUCUUUCUAUUUAAAUAAAAGCAAAAAAGAAAAUAAAAAUUAAAGAACAAAUUCUAAUUAUACUCCCUAACUUUUUAAAAAAUUAAAUUCCUAAUCUUUUAAUGGAGUCUCGCUAAUAAUAGAAAAACUAAAACAACAAAAAGGAAAAAAAAAAAAAAUUGUAAAUAGAGUUUCGCUAUUCUUUAAUGAAAUAAUGUUAUUUGUAAUCAUUCACUAUGACAGUCAUCCUAUGUGAUAUACACAUGAAAAGCAAUUCAAUAUGAUAAUUUUUAAUUAACUCAUGUAUCAAAUAAAUAUAUGUCAUGUAAGACAACUAUCAUAACAAGUGUGGAUAGUAUUAUUUUUUUCUUAAAGGUGGUACAAAGAAAUUCCAUGAUUAAGCAAAUUUUAAAUUCCCUUAUGUGGAUGUUGACACUUUCUUAGUCCAAGACUAUAUUAUGAUUCAAAAGUGUUGUGUCACACGUCAUAUUUCAAUUUUCUAUUUUAAUAAAAAUUCUUUGGUUAGAACCAUCAUGGCCAUAGAUCCCAUUCAGUAUUUUUUAAAGGCCAACUAUUUGUGAAAGUUUUCAUUCAGACAAGUAUUUGCACUCAGUUACUGUCACUUGGGUCAGGCAAAUCGCAAACUGUCCACAAGUUUUGCGUAGAUAAGCUGAGGCACAUAGACAAAUCUUCACCUUGAGAAAGUUGUGGGUAAUAUUUGAGUUUGGGCUAUGCCUUAAAGUAUGUUUAAAGGCCAGCAUUUAAUAAAUUAGCCCCUGAUUGGCCUCAAUUAUAAUUUAAUGCAUUUUUCUCUCUCCUCAUUUCAAUCACAAUAAAAUAAUAUUACACGUAAGCUCAAAAUUAUUCUUUCAUUUUUAAUCACACAUUCUUCAAAAGGAAAAAAAUAUUAUUCCAAAGUAGUUAUCCCCAUAAACUCGAGAGAUACUUGAUUACGGUGCGACCGUCUUACGAGGGGCCAUCACCUCAUUAAAUGACCCAAUCUUUCUUUUCACCUCGGGUUCCGAGGUGGCCUCAUCUCAUUGGGUGAGACAAGGCCAUCAAUGAGGUGGCAGGCCUUCAUAAAAUAGUUGCACCAGUAAGAUUGUCCUACCCAAGUAUUUCUCCACAAACUCAUUGUAAUGGAUCCCAAAUAGGGGUUAAUCAUGCAACGGUGCAGUCAUACUAUGUGUGUACACUGGUCUUGAAAACAUUAUACCGUUAUUCUAGAAAAUGAAAUGGAUUUGCCACCUUGACAGACUAAUGUAAUAGAUGCAACGAUAUAAUCUCAGUUGGCAAUAGAUAAUUUGAUGGGGAUGUUGAUUGUAUUUAAAACAAGUCAAUAGUGAAAUGUCACGUGACAUUAUAUAAAAAUUAGGUCAAUCAUUAUUUUAUUAUAGCGUGGAAUGAAAUUUUGGCCAUUUUUACAUUUUCUUUGAAAAUGGGUACGAAUUCUUGAAAGGACAGCAUUAAAUUGAACCCCACCAACAACCAUCCCCUGAACCAAUCAGAAAUAGUGUCAGUGGCUUCCCACAACACUUGGGAUAUCCUCUAUAUAAACACCACAAUUGUCAAGGUUUUAUACACACAAAUCAUAUUGUUCUCGAGAGCUAAAAAUAAAUUGAAACACUUGAUUUGCCUGGUGUUAUACACUUGAUAAAUUUUCUUCUGCAAUGGUGUCUAAGUCUUCAAUUGUUAAGGCUACAUACUUGGUCCUAAUUGCAGCGGCCCUGGUGGCGUCACUCGCUGAGGCGUCAACCUCAUCUAAGGAAUGGCAGGGUAGUGGCGAUGGGCAAUGCAGUAGCGGGCACCUGCUGUGGAAGAGCUACUGGCCUCCCUGGAAAAUGUUGCGGCAAUAUCUCAAGUAAGAUCUUCCCUUCAACUGCUUAAUCAAAGUAAAUACAUAUAUCUCCUUUCUACAUUUCUUCACAAGUUCGUUUCACAUUUAGCUUUGAAAAGUUGUAAUUAUACUGCGAUUCUUGUGUUGCAGGGGUCGGUAAGUUCAUCGAUGGAGCGGAUUUUCCUAUAUAUAUAUAUAUAUUGUUUAUGAAUAUGAAUGAAUAAGGAUACUUUUUCUAGUCUGCAGAAUAAAGGGAAAACCUGGGGCUUUUCUUUGCGCUAUAAUUUUACAUUAUUCACUUUAAUCCAAAUAAUUACGAGUAUGCAUUAUCUGAUUUUGUGAAUUAUGAAAUUUCCUAUUAAUCAAUCUAUGCAUUAUAAUUUUG
rnacentral:lncRNA from 1 species